rnacentral:lncRNA from 1 species
GGCCGCUCGCUGGCGGAAGGACCUCUUUUUUUUUCUAGGUUUUUUCAGUGUCUUCUUUAAGAUGGUGAAACGGCAGUAGCAUCUUGCAGUCGGAAUAAGGUAUUCCCUGCUUGUCCUCAUUGUGGCGGUGCGCCUAGCGCUGGCGGAGGGUGCGUGGAGCUGUGUUUCCGGUGCAUCCCUUGGGAUCCGGCCACCACUAGGUGGUCUAAAGACCUAUUUUUUUUUAUUACUUUUAUGGCUCUUUAUUGAUGUUGAUGAUCAUUAAUAGAUCGUUGAUCCUUUCGCAAAAUAAAUAAAUAGCAAUAGCCAUGAAACAAAUCGAAAUCUACGUCGAAUAUGUACAUAUGAACUAACUCCCAAACAAAUCUUCCAGAACCCUUGGCGCAUGUCGCCGCCGGGGACGUUGGUGGCUUGGACAAGAAGGCCCGUACUUGAAGGGCUCCUCCUCGCCGCUGCCUUCCCAGGCGUCGUCCUCCUUGAAGUUGCAUAAUAUCAAGAAUAUGCUUGCAUAUUGCUCUUUCCUUCCAAGAGGUCAUAGUAAUGCUAGCCAGAGGAUUACGAAAAACUAGUGGCUCGUAUUAAUUUGUAAGGGUCUUCAAAAAAACAUUUUUCAAUUUUUUAGGGGUUUGAAUGCACAUUUCACCUUUCUCAUUAAACUUGAUUGAACACUUGAUGCAGAUAUUAAUUCACUAAUUCACUUUUAUUAAUCGUUAAAACACAAAUGUAGGAUCAACAUACAUUUUCAAAUGAAUACAAAUACAUGUGAUUUAUUACGAGAAGACUUUUGCUCCAGUGGCAUAUCUAUGUUGGGGCGAUACGAUUGCCAAAGUUUUAGUUUAGUUUGUUUAAGUAACUAGGGCCUAAUUUUGCCGCAAAGCUAGGAUUACCUAGAAGGCGGCGUAUCCGGUGAAAACCCCGUUUGGUGCACACUCCAUAAAACCAUGUAUAAUGUUUUCCAAAAAUUCCUAUAAAAAUGUCAUAUGUUGGAGGUGUGGUGCUCUACAAACGUGCAAAAUUUCAAAUUGAAAAUCAAAUCCAUUUGAAAAAAAUUAAAAAGAGAAAUAUACAAAUGAAUAGUGUCAAAACGGAUGACCCACUAUUCAUGCUAAAUUUGUUUUUUUCGCUGCUACCAAAAAAAUUCUAAAGCUCAUUAGGACUAUAUAAACUCAUUUCUUUUAUUCAUCUUCAACUCAACACCAUAAACUGGAAAUUCAUCGAAACUAUAUAAGCUCCAUCCAAGUUGAUGUUGGAGAUCCUUUCUUUUAUCGUGCGAUACUCUGUAAUAUAAGAGAAACAUCUCUUGGUGAGAUGAUAGAGCUGUGGGUGCAUGAUUUCACCCAUCAAUGUUUAAAUAUUGUGUUCACAAUUAUUUUGUAAAGGUUUUUCUUGCAAUCUUUCCAUAAAAAAAGAUAAUCUGGAAUAUAAAAGAGAAAAUUAUACCGUUUGAAAAAUGACCAAAGCCAUUUCCAAGUCAAUGCAAAUGAUCAAUUUUUAAAUAAAUUAGUGCACGGUAUCGGGAAUAUGCUUGUAUCUUGCUCGACUAUUCUUUGCAUUUUGUGUGAGGCUCACGCCAAAACAAGAAAAGAAACAUCGUUUGAAUUCCAAUAUCCAGUGUCUUAAGAUUUAUUUUUUAUAAAUGAAUAGUAACCCUUCUCUACAGCUCGCACAAGGUCGCCAUCACCAACCAAACGAAAAUCUCAAGAUAAAUAAAUGAAUGAAAGAUCAAACAUACAGUACGUACCCAACAGCUACAGUAUGAGUCAUGGGUCAAAAAUAAAUAAAAUCGAAAUCUACUCCGUAUUGUCCAAUUAUGUACUGUACAAAUGAACUGACUCCGAAGAGAAAUCAAGAGCCCCGGCCGAGUGCCGCCGCCGCAUCUCGCAGCGGCAUCGGCGACGGGGACGCCGGCAGCCGGGACGAGAAGGCCCGGUACUUGAAGGGCUCCUCCUCCUCGCCGUCCUCCUCGAAGUUGAGCGCGUAGCUGAUGGGGUCGUACCGGAACUCCCCCGCCAGCUGCUGCUUCCUCCGCGGCCGCCUGACGCGCGCCACGAGCUCCGGCAGCUCCCCCGCGCGGUCCCGCAUCCACCGCGACGACGCCCGCAGCGCCCUGGAAGCCCUCUCGCCCGCGCCGCCUUCCCCCGCUUCCCCGCCGCCGAAGCAGCACGAGAAGCAGCCGCCACGGCGCUCGUUGUACUCCAUCGCCAUGUAUCACCAACUCUUGACAAGUGGAUAUUGAUUGCUGGCAGUCAAGAUAGUUAAGUCGAGUUUGGAUUUGGGUGCUUGAUGAGAAGAAGGAUUUUGUUUUAUAGGUCUUCGUUGGUUGGUUGGUGCGAGGUGGAUAAGGUCGGACUCGGAGAGGCAGAGGCCUGGAGGGAAGAAGGUUCGGGUUCGGGGGCUAAUAAACCGUGGGCGGGAGGGCAAUGUGGUCAUUUUCCGAGGUUUCGGGGGGCCAGUGAUGACGGGGAGGGCCGAUCCGGACUCCGGAGGACGCGCUGGGGACGCGGGCGCGGGAGUUUCUCCGCGUAGGCAAGAUGAAAAGCGUCCGCGUUUAGUUGGACUACUCUGAGUAUUGACCGCGAUUUACGGUCAGGCUCUACUGUGGCAGUUUAAAAGUCCAUUCACUUUGUAUCGAAGAAAUAUCGUACGGUCACGUUGAACGUGAAGCAUUUCAGUUCUGCACGAGCCUCGACCCAUGUCAUGUUUGUUCCUGCACAGGAAACGAGCCAGCAUUUUUUUUCACCCGGAUAGAAGGCAGAACGACAUGGGACGUUUUCUGCUUUCAAAAGCAGCACCUCCAGCGGAAUACGGCCAGCGAGAUGUCUUCAAUCGGUAGGAAAAUUGAUGGCAGUGACGACUGGCAUUUCAGUCACUUGUUAUACUGUUUUGUGGUAAGUUUUUUUUUUUUUUUUUUUUGUAAUGAUGGAGGCAAACUGCAUUGUUGUCCGGCGUCAGCCGAUGCUUUUAGUUUACCAAUAAUAUUUGGUGUGGUGCACGUCCACUGAUCUAAAGGCCUUUCCCUUAUUCAAAAAAAUAAAUGCUACUCCCUCCGCCACAUAAUUAUUGGCGUUGUUUUAAUUUUAAAUUUGUACUAAAAUCACGACACGAAUUAUGAGACGGAGAGAGUAAGUGUGAAGUCCUUUUCCAAUAGAGUCUCUUAACGCGUUAUCUUAAACAUUUUGCUGAGAUGUCACGCUAAUUAAGGAAGAAAAAAAUGUGUGCCAUCUCUCGUUGCAGAUACAGCUCUUGCACGUAGAGAUAGUCAAAAAAAAAACUAAUAGUCCAACCACGUACAGUCAUGACUCCUAAAUCAAUUAAGAGUAUCAAUUAAUGCAACCCUUGUUACUUCCUCCAUUCCACAAUACAACGUGUAUAGAUUUUUCUCAUUUGUUCCACAAUACACCUCAUUUUUCUCUUGUUACCUGCAUCCGGCCAAUAACUAUUCACAUCCAUUUAUUAUUAACCCAAUAUGAAUGGUCAAGCACUAGAAACGAGAACUGCCUUGAUUCAGAUACACAAAUCUAUAUGAGGUGUAUUUUGGAAUAAAGGGAGUAGAUUAUUGAUAUGGACAUGCUAACCAUGAAUACGACCAUUAGAACCCUAAUUGUUGGUGUCUCUAAUAAUUAUAAUCAGGUGAAUUCAAUUACAAAAUGUUUUCAAUAUGUUACUUGCAAAGAGGCGGAGCUACUAUCUUGUGUAAUCUUAUUAUGUAGGCAUCUUAUUGAACUUUACAAGUCCAAAGUGAAGAUGAAGUGUUAUAACCUGCAAAGGGAGAUUCAAAAUGAAGCCUAUCAAGUCUACUUUCCAACAAAUCAAACGGCACAUGAUUCGGAGACCUUUCCAACGGAUCUAGCCCCAUCAAGAGAUUCGACUCGUGCUGACCGUGGCGGACAAAACAAGCUGACGGAUCUGUUUUUCUGUUUCCUAAAGAGUUGUAGUUUGUUAGGAAAGUUAGAGAUAGAGUUGGAUUUCGGACUCCUUAUUCAAGGUGGACGAAAAUAUCUCUCUCUCCUCCUUUAUAUACCCCAUGAGCCCCCCUAAGGAGCCUUGGGUUUUGUUUAGUUAAAAGUUAGCCAUCGCUACUACUUCGUGUAAUCGCGUGUGUCGGUUAGACCACCUGUUUUACCGCUUUCGGAACCCCAACUUAUCGUCUCGUUGAGACAUUGGUUUGAUAUAGUAUAUUCGCAAUUUUAGAUUGCAUCCGCUAUUUAUCUUGUUCUUGCUUGUUCUUCGAUUGCUUGCAGGAACAAAGACCUUCGUGGUCAGGUUGAUCGUGCCCCGCGUGAUCAAUAACCCUCUGGAGUUGGUGUAUCGAUUGCUAAGGCGCUGCCUGCUAGGCCGUAGUCGGAUCGUCAACGUCACCUCCUACCCAAAUCGAGAGUUAUCAAUCUCAUCGAAAGAUCGGGCCACCCGCACCCGUAUCACGUGGUAUCAGAGCUUAAGGUUGCUCGGUGAGAUUUUUCCAGUUUGUUUGGAGGUGACGUUGACGAUCCGACUACGGCCUAGCAGGCAGCGCCUUAGCAAUCGAUACACCAACUACAGAGGGUUAUUGAUCACACGCGGCACGAUCAACCUGACCACGAAGGUCUUUGUUCCUGCAAGCAAUCGAAGAACAAGCAAGAACAAGAUAAAUAGCGGAUGCAAUCUAAAAUUGCGAAUAUACUAUAUCAAACCAAUGUCUCAACGAGACGAUAAGUUGGGGUUCCGAAAGCGGUAAAACAGGUGGUCUAACCGACACACGCGAUUACACGAAGUAGUAGCGAUGGCUAACUUUUAACUAAACAAAACCCAAGGCUCCUUAGGGGGGCUCAUGGGGUAUAAAGGAGGAGAGAGAGAUAUUUUCGUCCACCUUGAAUAAGGAGUCCGAAAUCCAACUCUAUCUCUAACUUUCCUAACAAACUACAACUCUUUAGGAAACAGAAAAACAGAUCCGUCAGCUUGUUUUGUCCGCCACGGUCAGCACGAGUCGAAUCUCUUGAUGGGGCUAGAUCCGUUGGAAAGGUCUUGUAAUUACCUUUCCAACAAGUACUUGUUUGCUUGAUUUGGACUCCGGAUGCGGCCUGGGUGAUUAAAACAAAUUCGGGUCUCUUGACAACUCGGACCCGAAUCGGAUUCAACUUUAAUUCGUGAUAUCUUUCUCUAGCAAGCUCCGAAUCAUGUGCCGUUUGAUUUGUUGGAAAGUAGACUUGAUAGGCUUCACUUUGAAUCUCCCUUUGCAGGUUAUAACACUUCAUCUUCACUUUGGACUUGUAAAGUUCAAUAAGAUGCCUACAUAAUAAGAUUACACAAGAUAGUAGCUCCGCCUCUUUGCAAGUAACAUAUUGAAAACAUUUUGUAAUUGAAUUCACCUGAUUAUAAUUAUUAGAGACACCAACAAUUAGGGUUCUAAUGGUCGUAUCCAUGGUUAGCAUGUCCAUAUCAAUUAUACUCUCUCCUUUUCACAAAGAAUGCAUGACACGCACACAUUUCAAAAUUUUAAUUUGAUCAACAAUUAGACUAAUGAUUUGAGAGUUACGUGCUACAAAAAUUAUAUCAUUUGAUUCGUAUUUAAAAAAUGUUUGUAUAAAAUUUAUGACAUAUAAUUUACAUAUUAUUGGUCUAAUCGUUGGUUAAAAUUUGACCUCGAAAUACAUGGACAGCAUUCUUUAUGAAAAUGAAAAGGAGGGAGUAAGAGCUAAGAGAUCAUGCAUUGUGACGAUGUCAUUAUAUAAACUAUCACCUAAGAUAACGUGUGAAGAGACGUUGCAUUUUGAGUGGCUAAUUAAAUCGGUUUAGUCCCAACCACCUCAAGUCGUCAGUACAAUUUUUUUUUAACUUGACCGCUCAGCCGCUCAGGCACCAACGAAGGAAAAUGUAUUAGCAGGAGCCUCCCGGUUUCCACUGGUUCAACUUUACACGUUUUUGCAGCUCAAAGAAAAAACUUUACACGUUUUUGAACAGCCCUAAAUUACAUGUGAUGUGAACGUUGCUGAUAGCUUAGCACCCGAGUAAGGUUACGUGCUGAACUUUCCACUAUAUGCAGGGAUCCUCUCACCGUUUAUUACCUCACAACAAAUAUUGAUACCGCAUUUUCUUUACAAUUAGCUGAAACAUCCAUGAAAGAAUACUGACUACCUAGUCUGAACCAUUGGCUUAUAUUCUAAUGCGACACUAACAAAAACAACUCUUACCCAAGCACUAGCCAAAACUGACAUAGCAUGAAAUUGCAAGAAUAACCAAAAGGGCUCGAUAAUAGUUAAAAUGUUUUUUUACCAGUCCAAAGCCUCAAUCCAUUAAAGAGAAUUGACUGGUUAAUUUGCGGAAGAGAAUAGCAAGGAUACUUACACCUUGAAUAAAAUUGAUUUCUACAUACUGGAGAUGCAUACAAGAUGCAUCUAUAUAUAUGCUCUCGAAAGUAAAAGAUUACAAGAACUGCAGCGGAAAAAGGAAGCACAGGUGCCUCGCCUAAUGUCCUAGAUGCUCAACUAUACACUGCCAACUAAAUUCACUUCUCUUCGAUAUGGUUACGACUCUCGAUAUCAUGAUUAAUCCUCCGGUGCUGCAAGAACUGGACGACUUCUCAACUCACCUACUGCAAAGCAGCAGCAUCGAACAAUAGCAAAGCCGAUCUGAAUCAGUCACUCGUUCUGCAAAAAAUGGUAAACGCAAAUGAAAUUAUUUGUCCACAUAUAUCAGUAUCACACAAUGCAAACACACACACACACACAAAGAUUAAACUAAUUGAAAGAAAAAUCUGUUAUGGACCUUGGUCCCGGCGAGGGCUCAUCUCUGACGUGCGAGAGAGGCUUUGAGGCUAAUGGAACUUUUGAUUAUUGAUUCAUUGCCCGAUUUAACUGUUACACGCUAGUCCUUUAUAUAGGACAGCUAACUUGAUCCACAAGUCGGAUCAUAAUUCAAACUCAAGUUUGAGCCAUAUCUCUACCUUCCUAGUUUUAUUGAACUCUGGACUCUUUCUAAAGACCUAAAUGUAUCACAUGAGGACACAUUCUGCUUGAUUUAUCCUUUUCCUAACCUUACUAUAUCUAAUAUUCUAUUGUCCAAUACCUUAACGCAUAUGCACAUCUCCUGCUGCCUUGUGCACCCACGACUAAUAACAAAAUCAUAGCACUAUGCCACAAUGAUAUAAUAAUCCAAUUUCAUUCUGUGGACCUAACUCAAAGCAGUUCGUCAUCACAAUGAACAAUACUGAUAUGUACUCCCCUCCGUCCGCAAAUAAGUGACUUGGAUUUGCAUUAAGAUCUUAUACAAAUCCAAGUCACUUAUUUCCGGACGGAGGGAGCAUUAGCCAUUAGGGAUGCAAGGGAUCCCACACGUCCUGCUUCUAGGUCAACCUUCAAAUCUUAAGUCAAAUUUUGAGUAAUUUUUUUGAAAUAGUAAGUCUCUAUUGGCCUAGAAACGGGACAUGUGUGGGUAUCCCUAAUAUAUACACACACCCUUUUGUAAGAUACCCUCAGGAGAACUGCAGGUAAACCUAUUGUUUGGCAUUAGCUUGUUACUUGACCAGAAUCAACAUACUUCAACUCCAACUAAGCCAAAAGAAUCAUCCCAUAAAUAGACCAAACAAACACAUUAAAUUAAAAAAAAAAUCCAAGAAUGCAAGUCAUGUACCUUUGCCUUUUAGAAUUGGGGCCAUCAACUGGGUCGCGGUUAUGAUCAUGUGAAUUCCUCCUAGAAUCACUUGGCUCAUCCCUUGCACUGUUUGAGCUCCCAGACGCAACCUGCAUCCAGUACUGAUGUUAAUAGUCCAUCAAGAGUGUAUUAAGGACUCAUAGCAGUAGUAAUUAUCCUUGCCUGUGAAGGAAUACUGCUACCAUCUCCUGGGGUGCUUUGAGGCUGGUUUUCGACUUGGGAGAUAAAUGGCAUGAUUUGUUGGAGAAAAUUAGCAAAGCGUAUCCCCUCAUUGCUAACCCCUGGCACUUCAGGUGCUCCACGGUUUGUAACAUCUACCUGCUCAGCAGAAGACAUUGGGACAUGCUGACUCGUGACAUUUGCGCGGGAAUUUCCUACAGAAGAUGCUGAUCCAAUCCACUGGAAAUUGUCCAUCAAAUGAGAUAAUAAAGGAGACUGGCCAUUCUGCUGCCCAGGGGAGGCCUGAGAGCUGUUGCUCACAUUGACAUCGACAGGAAAUACUGGAUUACCUAAAACAAAAUCAAUUGAUUAUAAAAAUUGUAUAAGAGAACGAAGCCUUUUCUUUUGGAAGUCCAAAAGAUCAACAUUUGGACCAGAAUACCAUACACCAAAAAAGUGAAGAAUCAUCAAAGAAUGGCAUGCAGCAUUCGUUGAGGCAACUGUCUGAACAAAAAGGUUGCGCAAACUCAGUAGAAACUUUGGGUGCAAUCAGAUUUGGUCACAAGAUGUCUUUACCAUAUCCUAACCAACAUUGUUCUCAAAAUAAGAUAAAGAAAUAUGGUUACCUCAGUUUAUUGUUAGAAGGAAAAAAAAAGGGUCAUCAGAUAUAUGAACACAGUUAGAACUUAGAAUUCAGGAAGGAAAGUGAACAUAAAAUCAUUAAAAAAGAAGAAGAGCAACUUGUUGGCCUAGAACAAGUGCAUAACGAAAAGGCUAACCAGCACACUCAUGAUGUCAAAACAAUGCCAAGGACAUGGAAAUAUGGACUUUGCAAUGCCACCUGAUUUACUUCACUCCUCGUCACAGAUGCGCCAGACCAAGCUAGUUGCAAGGUAAUAUGAAAACUGACCCCUUGGCAGUGUGCUUCCACUCUUCUCCAUCAUCAGUGGAAAGGCUCGGCAAGGACAACGACGAGCAGCAAUAACAGUCAAGGCAUAGCACCAACAGGCAGCUGAGUUUGCCUCUUGAGUAUCAUUUCCCCCCUUCAGUAUAUGAUUCCUAAUUUUCCUAGAUAUUCAACUUCCUAAUUUAAUUUUAUUCGAAUGAAUGGAUAUAUCAGACAAAAAUCCAAGUUGCAGCCAGCCAAAACUGUUCAAAUCUGAUUAGGUAUCAGGAACACUUCAUCAAACAGGGUGACAGGGUUGCAUGAGUCAUGAGCUACCCGACCCGAUUGCACCCCUAGCAGUAAGUCUCGUCUUUAGUAAACGAAUGCAAAACAAUUUAGAAGGAAGAAACAAAUACAGAUGAAGUGAGGAAGCUCAUUCACCUGUUUCGUGAGCUUGAGAUGGCUGAGGAUUCGGCUGCACAGUGGCAUGGGUGUCACUACGACCAGGUUCAUUUGGAGUUUGACCAUUUCGUGCAUCACUACCACUAGUAUUUACUCUUUGUUGAAUUCUGGUGACCAUUGGAUAAAUAACACCAACUCCUCCACUAGAAGAACCUGAUGGAGGGCGCCUGAUGCCAGCAGGCACAGCGACAACUGUUCUAAGUGGUAACAGUCUAACUCCAGACCCAACAGCAAAAGGAGCACCACCUGUAACUCGCGCAGAUGCUUCUCUAACGUUUGUAUGAGAAGCAUUUCCAGUUCUAUCUGUACGUUCUUGUGCUUGCUGUGCCCCAACCGGUUCACUUGGGUUAGUACUGGCUACAGGCACAGAACCACCUAACAACCAAAAAGACUGGCAUUUAACCAUUAUCAUCAACCAAAGUAACAACAGAAGAAAAAUGAACACACCGUGCAGCUAUGUAGACAUGCCAAUUAUUUAUGUAUCCUUUUGAGGGAAAACGGAAGGGACACCCAUAUGAAAUACAAAAAUAUAUAACAAGAAGUAUUUAUAAGAGAAGCAGGCAAGGGAUUUUAUCUCCUGGUUCAAUUCUUCCGACCAGUCAUUCAUUUUUGACUGACACACCCUAACCUGGUUGUUUGGAUCUUUUCAUACGACAAAUACUACCUCAGCUCUAAAAAAUCCCUGCUCCACUCAUACCAACUGGCACAAAGUUUAGUAUAACAUCAUGAUUGUUAGAAAAGUGUAUCACAAAUUCUCCAAUCUAUUGUUGACUAACUCUGAAUUGACACACCCACCCUAGAUGUUCUGAUAGACCUAAUACGCCGUCCAAAUAAGACAUUAGACAUAAACCAUCCCUGGUCUGCUCUCACAAACUGGCGCUUACACUAAUUUGGCAAUUUCAAACCAUCUAUUUGCCAGAGAUUGUCACACACCAAGCUUUCAAUUGACUUGCACUACCAGUUCUGAUUCACUCAGUCUCCUAAGUUAGCAUUCAGGUCUACUAAAAAUACAGGACAAUCCUUGACUAUUACGACCUGCAUUUCCACUAAUAGUUCUAAUUUCAAGAUAAUAUAGCUGAACAGACUCCCAAUACAUAACACUGCUAAAUUUAGGCAUGUGGAAAGAAAUUUCAUAUGAAUAAAACGGCAAUAACCAAAUCUCAGAGUCACUGUAGGAACAUAUUAGUGUUACUCACUUGUACGGGCAUGGAUAUCAGCCUCUCUUGGGUGUAGAACGGAGCCUUGCGAACUAAGACUAGAAAAUAUCGGACCCAUUUGGACAGAUCUUGCUCCUGGAAAAAAGGGAACAGGCUGCACGGAAGCAAGUCAGCAUAUGCAUAAAACAGGAUAGAUAGGGGGCCUUAUCUAUUCAUUAAUUCUAAAUUAAAACUUUAAAAACUCACCGGAACCAUAAGAGGAUUUGGCCCAGAUGGAGAUAUAAAAACAGCUGGUCCAGAAUUUACAACCGCUUCUGACUGAGAAUAGCAAAAGGGUCAAUGCGUAAGUAUAAACUUGUUCAAAACCUCAAAUGGGGUUAAUACAGUUGACACAGAAACCUACAGGUGCAGGGUUGAUGCGAAGCAUCAUUGUUGUGCGGCCAAGUUCUAGAAGUAAUGAACCAAGGUUCUGGAGGAGAACACCGUGUCUCAUUGCGCCAUGUUGAAGGUUCCUCCGCGUUGCAGAGUCACUUACAUUCACAAGAUCGCCCAAUUGCGCAGAUAGUUGCUGGAUUGAAAUAAUAUGAUAUUAACUUAGAUAAGUGAUGUAAAAUCAUCAACUACAGCAACUUAGAUAGGAAUAGAAUGCAUGAGGAAUAAAUUGAAUCGAUGCAAUAAACAUGUGACAACUAACAACCAAUACAAAAAUCUUAUGUGGGAAUUACUCAAGUGCCCUUCAUUCAUAUUAAAGUGCCAUAUCAUAAGACAGAUCACACAACAACGAUGUGUUUGGUUUCGGGUGCGGCGGGGCGGCCACGGGCCGCGUGAGUCCGCAAAAAUUGGCGAGCACGGCGGUCCGUUUUUUCAAGCGCAAAUUCUUCAGCGGACCGCUCCGCUCAGGACACAAACCGAUCCAAACAUGAAAAAAGUCUGUGCGAGCAGACCGAAGCAGCCCCGCUCCAGGACCAAACGUAUCCUAAAUUAAUACAUUUUGAUGCCACAAGCUAAUACACUUCGAUGUUAAAUUCAGUUUUCUGGCUAAAAAGGUUAUUCAAUAUAAAUAGAAACUUUUUUUAGCUUGUCAAGGACUUUAAAAAUAAAAUCAAGUAUACCAAUAUGGCUCAUUCAAACAACUAGAAAGAAAAUAUAGCUCAUUUACUUUGGAUAAUAUCUGAGGCUCACUAUCAUUACAGGACUUACGAAACGGAAUCAAGUACACAGCAUUUUCAACUCAACGAUAUACCUUGCACUGCUUAUAAUGUAGCUGAAGUACUGGAGGGUAGAGACUAGCAUUAUCAUAUUAGCUACUUAAAUUACGAGGCUCUGGCAGAUGUGACUUACAGAUAGCAAUGGUCCAGCAAGAUCAACAAGAAGUUGUCUGGUCGAGUACAUUGUUUCAGCUAGCAAUGAUGCAGUAGGAAGUCCAUGCUGUGCAGAAGAUGAAUCAGGCUGGCUUUCCUGAUUUUGAGUACCACCAACAUGAGCACUUUGUGUGUUUCUGUGGUCAAUGUUACCUAUGGGUUGUCCUGUAGAAGAGAAAUGGAGGUAAAUCUUCAUACUAAUUACAAAAUGAAUGUAAUUCGCAAACCGAAAGCAGCUAAACCAUUUUCGUUGAAGCCUUCCCUCCUAAAUGAAUCCCUCAUGAACUCAAUGUACUGAGAAAUAGUGGUCAAGGAAUCAGGGAUAACCUGCAAAAUAUGGAAUAUAGUACCAUUAUAUCCUUGCAUUCACCAUUCACCAUACAGGGGGGGUAUGCUGAGGAUCAAAGACAAAGGUUUACAUUUGGUUCUGAUGACCCAGGUGUCGCUUCAGGGAAAAGUAGAGAAGCCUGCUGUUGGUCAAGUUCAACCCUGGCACCAUUUGGGAAUGAUGGUUGUGUAGGUUCUGAAGGUCUGGUAUCAGAAGGUGCUGGUCCACCCUAGCAUUAGAACAGUACAUUUUAAACAAGUUCUUGAAGUUUCCAUCUAAGCAAGUAAUUUAAGAAUUCUGGAUUACCGAAGCUGCGCUAAACAGGCUUUGGAGAAUCUGCCAAAAAAAUAUUCAAGAAUAUGAACAAAACCCAGCUAUGUCAAGCACAACAGUUGUUUGAACAGAAAUUGAUCAGAACAUAUCAAACAUGUAGGAUCACCUGAGCAAGGCUAGAGAAUUCACCCCCCUGAUCCAAAUUAACAGCCUCAAGUACAAUACUGCGAGCAACUGUGGGGCCAUGAUGGUGAGCAGAAUUUGCUGAAGGAGCUGUAAAAUUUUGACAGUCACAGUGAACAUAAGUUGUUAUUCCAAUAAAAAGGAAGAAACUGGUAUUCAGAAGAGAACAUUGAAGAGUAAACCCUAAGAUGCAAAACGGAACCAUAUUGCUACUAAGCCGUAAAUGUUUAUCUGGACAUGCCACAGAGCACAGAGUACAGAUUGCAACAAUUGGCAAAUUAGUCUAAAGAAGUUACAAGCAUUAGAGGACCAGCCUUUCAAAGUAACUGCAGAAGUUUAGCAGCGAAAUGAUGCUACAGCUAAUCGUCCAGCGACCAUAUCAUGACAGCAACAUGCUCGCAGUACUUGCAGAAUACGAAGUUCAUAACUAAUAGUAUAAAAAAGAACAUCAAAUGCAUAAUAGGCACACAAUACAAAGGCAAAGGUCUAAAAUAAUAGCAAAAAACACAUAUGCCACUGUAGCGACUCAAGGGAUUUGUAAUGGGUGCAGACAUUUGUGAAUUCAAGGGUAGCUUUAGGUGUUGAUGAAUCAAUGAACAUUUAAUUAUGUCUGUAGUAGACCACUAAAACGCCGAGCCGAUCAUGCCAAAAAUGACAAAGCCACAGCAUCUGCUUCACUGCACUAUUACAGAAUGGUCACUACAAAUAUCAAGACGCAAAUUCGCAAUGUUUAAAAGGACAACAACAUAAUACAACAGAUACAACAUUAUUCCCUCAAAUAACAAAGAACUUUACAAAGCAUUCAAAGACUUCAAACUAAGGAAGAGAAUCAGGACAGGAAACUAAAGUCAACAACACAUGCAAAGAUAGCCAGAUAUACCAAAGAACUAUUCCUCCUGAGUUUCUAUCAAAAUUUAAACAAUCAAAAAAAUCUUCAUAAAGACUACACAAUUAAAUGAUUCUACUAACCUUCAUUUCCAGCGUUUCCUGAUGUUGCUGGCUGGCCUGGUUGUCUAACAACAAGAUGCAACGUAUGACCAUCUUCAACAUCUAGAAACUAUUAUUAAGGAGUAACAUUUACAGGGUGAAUCUAAAUAAAACUUAAAAUACAAAACAUCUACUCCCUCCGAUCUAUUGGCAUCUAGUCCUAGGAGGGGAAAGACAAAAGGAAAGUGUUCAUGUUUAAGCCUUUGCCUAAUGGUAGAACAGCCAGAAACAAUUAAGGGAAAGAAAUUACUAGUUUGCUGGACCAAAUAUAUCUUAAAUCUUAAAUAAUAUAUACGGCAUAAUCCCCAGUGGAGCAUCAUAAUUUCCCAACGUUCUUUGAAAAUAACUUGUUACACUUAGAGCAUGUAAAACUAAUAAAAACAGACUAAACAAUUCAUGAUGAUACACAAUACAAUGUUAAAUGCAAGUUUGCAAUUGGUGGAUCAUCAACAGCAUCAGACAUGUUAAUGAAUCAAGAUAGCAAAGCUUUUGCUUUUUCUCAGGAAAAAUGUGCAUUGGAUGAUAUCUACUGAUAAAAUCCAUUGAAAAGGAUGUCUAUAGAUGGAGUAAACAGCUAUCCAAUUCCAAGACAAAUAGAGCAUAUAAGAAUGCAGGUCGAGAGUAGAAGAGGAUACGAUAUGCAGACAGAAGUUCAUCAUCCUUUAGGACUCUCCCACGACAAAUCAAGCGUUGUUGUUCAGACAAUAUUCCAGUUACGGUAGCGAUUUUUUCCUUUAGCAAAGGAACUGGCACCUGUAACAGGUCAAUGGAUUACUUAGCACAAGCACAUGCCGUAGCAUGUUUUUACGAAAUAAAAAUGGAACUCGCUAUUAAAAAAUAAUAAUAAUGCAUCAUCUAUUUCCAAAAGCUGAACUGACUAUAUAUAGAUUUUUAGUAGUUUACACCAAAACAGAUAAGACACGAAGCCAUUGCUUACGUGCUAGUAAAUUGUAACUGAUUCACAGCAACAACGCGACAAAACAACUAGCUAGAUCUGACAAAAUGAUCUAUGUCUUACUGAGCAGAGCCUUGACUAAAACUUCCUCAAAAAAGUGUCAUCGCAUGAGCACUCAAUAAACUAGACAGACACACAGGAAAAUACAAGACAUUUUUAGAAUACUUCAAAUCAGACCACAAGAACCCUAUGAAUAACACAUAAUAAUAUUAAAUAAAGAUAAUGCUAGAUAACUCGAGGAUGGAAGAACUAAUGCAGGUUCACGGGACUUCCAAUGAAUAAAGCAAUGAAAUUAAAUGGCAUCAAACCAAAAUAUUACUUAAAGGAAAAAAUGAAAUAUGGGAUGUAUUGAUAUGUUAUCAAAAUUACUUAAGAGACUACAGAACAAAUUUGCAACACCUAAAAAUGUGGUGUCUAAAGGCCAGGACGAAACAGUAAUUUCCUCUGAAGAGAAAUAGGAGGACAUCUCAGGAAUCACAAGGAUUUGUGCAUGCAAACAGCCAAGCGUUCCCAAAGUACAGUAGAAAACCACAACAACAUUGCAAGUAAAGCAUCCUUUGUUCCCAGAAAGCAACUACUCCCUCCGUUCCAUGAAGGCUGGCGUGACUUUGAACUAGCUAUAGUUCAAAACCGUGCCAAUCUUUGUGGAACGGAGGGAGUACAUAUGUAUGCAUUAUCAACUUACACAUUUGUUCACACGCAAAUUGUAUGUUUGAGAAUCCAAGGUUUUAAUGUUGAUCUCUAUUGUAGUCUCAGAAUCCUCAGCACAAUGUGACAUUUGUACAUUUGAAGAAUCGCAAUCCAUAAUCUCCUGAAAUGAAGCAAAGGAGUACUAGAAACAUGAACUGCAAUUCAGCUAUCAAGAGGUAUGAUUUGAUUCAUCAGUAUAAAUGACAUAACAAAGGGAAAUCAACUGCAUAUUGUGAAUCUAUCCUAGGUUACCCUUACCAUCCAAAAUAUUUGCAUGUCUCUGACGAGGCAAGUAUUAAAAGCAUUUGUUGCAGCAAGGAGGCAAAAAUUGUGAUUAUAAAGCUCCAGAGAAACAAUAGCAAAACAAACCACGAAUAUUCUAGAGCAAGCAAUAAAAAACUAGGCCACACUGCAUUUAGAAUAUACAACUCGCCUGGAUUACAUGUGUAGUAGACACAUUAAAAUAAUGUGGGAAUGUUAUGCAGGUGGUAAUUGGCAAAGUAAUUUUCGAAGUUACAAUGAAAAUGAAGAGUAGGUAAAGUUGGGACAGUAAGCAUAAAAUUGAAAAGGGCAUCCCAAAAUACUCGGAACUUGAUACUCCCUCUGAUCCUAAAUUUUUGACUCAAAUUUACCCAAAUAUGGAUGUAUCUAUUCUUAAAAAGCGUCUAGAUACAUGUAAUAUUUCGACAACAAUUUAGGAUCGGAGGGAGUAGUCAAUAGAGGCAAAACAUAACAUAUCUGUAAACCAAAAAAACCUACAGAAAUAUGAGGUAGACUGAUUUAUUUAAGAAAAUUAAGUUGCUCGUUGGGCCACUGCUGUCUGUUGUGUUGUAGAACAAAAAUGCCAUAUCUCCAUUGACAGAUUCCUCCCUAUGCUACGGACACGCACGCUACAACGCAACAGACAUCAGUGACCAAUGAGCCACUUAAUUUUCUUAAAUAAAUAGGUCUGCCUAGUAUUGCUAUAGGUUUCUAGGGUUACAAAUAUAUGAACUUUUUGGCCAUUUCACUUAUUGUGUUAUGUGUUAUUUGGGGAACUUAAGUUGCAUAGCCUUUUCAAUUUUAGGCUCACUGUCCCCACUUUACCUGCUCUUCAUUUUUAUUGGAACUACCAGAAUCUACUUUGCCAAUUACCUGUCAGCAUAUUAUUCAGCACAUAUUUAAAUGUCUAAUACACAUAGAAUUUUUCAAAUCGUUAAAUAUCUUUCAUUGUUUUUCCAUGAAGAUGUCCUCAAGGUUCUUGUAAAGACUCAAGAAUGCCCCUGGCCUAUUGCCUAGUUUCACCUCCUCACAUAAUUCACAAAAAUGUAUUGAAUGUGUCCCAAAUUGUCUUCUACGUCUAUUUCAUUUUAUCAACUCACUGAAUAAAAUUAACCAUCGGGAAUGAGCACCAUCCAUCCAGCAUAUCAUAAAAAAGUUAAUCAUCAAAUGAGCAACAUCCAUACAUCAUAUACAUGCACAUUCACCAAAUCAUACAGCAGCAGCAGGCAACAAAUCCUACAGCGCAGCAGCAGCAGGCAACAGCAGCGGCACACCAUACAGCAGCAGCUUACGAGGUGGAAAUUACCAGCAGAAGGUGGAUGGCGACCGGGGCAGGUGGUGGACGGCAGCCUGGGGACCCGAGGAAGAGGUGGUGGAGGACGGCGUGGACGGCAGCCUGAGGAGGUGAUUCAGGAGGCUGGCGACGGCGGCGGUGAGUCGAAGAUGACAGGUGGCGGGGCGGAGGCACGUGCCGGCUAGAGCUCGGGGAUGUCCGGAUCCGCAGGAGGAAAAAGAACCGGCGGCCGCGGGAGCUAAGAGACGGUGGCGUCGUGUCGGGGAGGGCACUCGGAGAUGCGGGGCGGCCGCCGGCAGGGAUUCGGCGAGUUGAGAUCGGGAUGACGGAUAAGGUGGAGAAGGAGAUGGCGAAGGAAGCGGAGGCGGUAGCGUCGGGUCCGCCGGCGUGGAUAGGGGCCGCCGGCGAGGGAAGAGGCGGCGGCGACGAAACCCUAGUUUCCUGGGGAUAUCGGGGGGGAGGGAGGCGAACAGGAUGGGAGACGGGAAGAAAAGAGGGUUUUUUAAUCAUAUUUUGCCAAAAUUACGUAUAGUUGGUGAAAAGGAUUUUUGUAUCGUAUAGUGUCAAAAUUACUGAGGUUUUUACUACAUUCUUUAAACGAGAGAUUCUUUCAAGACAUUUCUUAUCAAACUGAUAAUGUGUGAUAGAACAUGGUUAUUUUUUACAUGUUUAUUACGUACGGUACAAAGUAGUUCGUUCUAUUCUUGUACGCAUGGCAUAUCAUCCAUCACCCCAUUACUAUAAAAGCAACUCCGGUAGAUUCCUUAUAAGGCCCCCAAUAGUUAAAUAUGGAAAUCUGACCCAAAAACGUGCUCCAGCAGUGGUCACAUCUUAUGCCCCAUAUCGAAGGACGCUCCAAAUCGAGGUCGGGAUUCCCCAUAUUGAGGAUCGUGGUUGGGAUCCUCCGUCCCCAACCAUCGAGCAGGAGAUCUCCGUCCUACGCAUUCGUUCCCUCCGCCCAUGUACGUACGCCAUCUUCUUCCUCUGCUUCUGUCUCUGUCUGCUUCGCCCGAGUGGAAAGGCGCCCGGAUCUGAGAGAAGUCGGAGGGGCCCGGCGGCGCGGGCUGGCGACGGGGUGUUGGGCUGGGGCGAGCGGCGGCGGGCGACUCUGAGUGCUGGACAUCAUAAUUUUGUACAUGUUUACUUCUUUCUACUUAGUACAUUAACACAUGUUUGCUCACUAAAACACCGUUUGUUGACAUACACUCGCUCCAUCGCUAAGAAAACCGUUUUUAACUAGCAUCUCAUUUUCUCUCCCGAUUGCUUUUUUUUAGCGAACUCUCCCGAUUGCUAAAACCUAUGUUCGUCCUUAGUGCCAAACUAGAUGGGCCAACGCGCUUCGCUGCGUCGUUGGCCUGGCCAUGGCCCAUGGGUUGCGAUAUCUACAGCUUUGUAAGUUUGAGGUAGUUGUUUGCCUUCGCACUUUAGGUGCUUCAGUCUAAAUUGUCAAGUAAUAAUAUUUGAACACAUCAUGUGAGCCAUUUCACUCGAACAGCAAGAUCACGACAUCUUCGACCAUGGUCUGAACUGUUUUGUACUCAGAAUUAGCCAUGUGCAUUGCUACCGUAAUAAACUAAUAAUGCAAUCACCAUUUGUGCAAUUUCACCGCAUUCAGAAAAUUGUAUGUAUCUGUUAGACUACUACCCUAUUCUUUACUAACUUCGUCUCAUUAAUCCGUAUAAACUAAGUAUUGAAAGUCAUUUAUAUUCUGACUGAACUUUCAGUGAUAAAAUGCUACCUUCUGAUAUUCUCCUUGUUGGUAAGAAAAGAGAGAGAGUGCAAGUCCACAGUACUGCAAAACUACACAAAAAACAUAUGAACAUUUUAUCGCCAAGGUAAUAAAGUUUAUAACCAUUUUGCGCAAAAUAAAUGACGAUUAUAACCUUCAAUCUGAACUCAAUUGUUGGUUUAAAACAUGCAGAUUACAACUCAAGUGAUAAAUACCAAGAACACAGUCCGCCAGUCCGCCAAGGGGAUAAACACCAAUGAACUAAUGUGAACCCUACUUGCCACCAUCCGUCUGAGCAAGAUCAGCCUUCGGCCAUUGCCAGCGCCUGCCAUCGAAGAUAUACCCAAGAACUCAGGAACCCUAGCAAGGAGUAGAGGCCUAGAGCGCGAAAGAAUAUGAGAAAGAGAAACUCACCGGAGAGAAUUAGCUCGCCAUGGAAGGUGCUGGAGGCCCGGAUGUGUAGUCGCUGCAGCGCUGCCGCCGCCGAGUUGCCACUGCCCCGCCGCCGCCGAGUCUAUGUGCAAGAGCGGCCUCCGAUUCGAGAUAAUUCCCACCGAUCUAACCGCGGGCCGCGCACCACCCAAGAGGCCAAGAAGAUCAUUCCGGAACAACAGAUCAGAUCAACAACAAAAAAAGAAACCGAAGCAACGGCGUAGAUGCCUUCAGAGAAGAGAAAUACAAAGUCUUUUUUUAAAGCCUGUAAUAACUUCAAGAAAUACAAACAUCGAUGCCAAGUCUGAGACAUGAACCUACCUCAGCUCAGGUGCAAAAUACAAAGUCUUAGGGUUAAUUUGUUCGUCCCGGCCACACUUUUUAGGGGGUCGUCCUUCAUAUACGAUAAGUUUUUUGAGUGAUCAUUUACGAGAAGUUCAGUAGGGCGCAGACCAGGAAGGUGCAUGGCCAUGGCCAACAAUGCCGGUCGCAGAGAGCACACCCCGAAGGUAAGUGCGAUUUUAACCGGUGUCCUCUGGUCAUAUAGGUCGACCGUCCGAAGAGACCCUGCCUAGUGCCUACACACACAUGCAUUGUUCACAGAAGGUUGCGAUGACAUUUUGAUAAAGGUUGGAAAGAGUACCACACUUUCUAGUUAAUGAAAGACAAUCAGGUAUGCUUUUGACAACGUUACAAAGAUAGCACGAUUCUGUGUUAUUCACUUCAGACUGCAUCAAAACUACAAACUGGGUGUACAUGCAGCGAGGACGUGAAAUCUAAAUCACUGGAAAGAAGCUAUUUCAUCACUAAAACGUGUGAUGACGUCAGCAAUGCUUUCUGUGGAUAGUUCUGCCUUGUCUCGUACCCUAAGGACGACCUGCAACAGAAUAAGCCAUGCAGAUAAUUCAGCAUUAUGGGAAGAGGCAAAAAUCAAUCAGGCUAUAUUAUUUCCACAUGGGUUUAUAUUGUUGUUUAUGUGAAGUGUAUUGCUGCUUCAAAUCUUUAAAGGAAGGAGUUACGCACGGACUUGCAUGGUCUUAAGCCCUUAAAAUUUCAAAAUUCAUACAACUAUACACUUUAUAAUAGUAAAAUACACACAUGAUAAAUAUUCAAGUGAUGUAUAAUGAAAUUCCUAGCAAUUAUCCAAGGUGGCAGAUUUGAUAGCCGUGCUUGCUAAUACUCAGCAAUAGAUAUUUCAUGCUACGAUUUGUGAUGAGAAUGAUGAUUUGUACUAUUAAACAGCCCAUCAUAUCAACCUAAUAUUUGAAUUUUGUCAAACAAAACAGAUAUGUAGGUUCAAUUUCUAAAUGGGUGCAAAGUCAAACCUUUCCAGUCUCAGCCUCUUUUGCACCUACGACAAGAAUGUAGUUGAAUUGGGCUAAUUGAGCCUCUCGUACCUGCAAUAAUGAAAAUUGACUAUAACCAUUCUAAUGAUGCGAAUUUUGUGAAUCUAAGUCCAUAUGAACCCCUUUUGCUUGUGUACUUUUAAAAAUAGAUGCACAAAUGUUAGAACAAAAUAAUACGCACAUAAUCAUAUCUCUGCACAAGUGUUUGUGUGCACUCCCAAUAUACGGAGUAUUAUACAUAUAUGAUUUUUUAAAGAAAACUUCAUCUGAUUUCUAAUGAGAUACAGUCCUUUCAAAUCAACUUACUCUGCCAUAAUUCCAUGUUUUGCCCUUCAGAGAGUAUAAACAAAUGACAAAAUAUGCACAUGGUACAAGAAUAGAAAGGAACUCUGCCAAGAUGAAAUAUCUAGCUACCUUCUUUUGAAUUGUUCUAUCAGUCAUAUCGAUGUCAACAUGAAAACCAGCUGCAUGUAUCUUAGCAUGAACCUGAACAUGAGAAACAAAGUGCUUAGUCACCAAGUGUCCAAAAAUAAGUACAUAUAUAAUUUUACUUAUGUUGUGAAAAUCUGAUUGUUAUGGAAAACAUUUGAUAUGACUGUCAAAUAUUUAUGUUAUGAUUACAAUAUAAAAUCACAUAGUUCCAAUACUAGUACAUCCAGUGUCUUUUGGAAUCCCUUAAGCCAAAUAGAGCCUAAUUAAACAAAGUCUAUAUGAACUUUGAAUGUUAUGCUGAUGUUUUACAUAAAUGAAAAAGAUCGACGUAGUAUGAUUAAACAAGAACACAAUAGAAACAAUCCAAAUUGAUUUCACCAAUUCAUCAUGAGACUAAUUUCAAAUCAUCCUCACUACGUUGAAGAGAUCUAUUUUUUUUUCCAAGACCCUGAGCAACCACAAGUUUCAAAGACCAAUAGUAAACAAGAAAAAUAACUUUUCAAAGGCCCAUAAGAAACCCACAUCUGUGGUUAAGCCCCCCUUUAUGGCCAAAAGGUUGACCUGCAUCCUACAUUCUAGUGAAACCAGGCAAAACAUUUCAAACAACAAAAAAACUAGAACCAUAACCUAAAGACUAAAGUUUUCUGGAACUCCUUAAAAGUUCAAAGCUUCGACGAUCAGACUAAAACAGAUCUUCCCCACCCAAAAAUCUGCUCAAAUCUGCCAACAGGAAGUAACUCUGCCAGAUUGACCUUAGUGAGGAUUAGUGCAUUUUGGAGAAUUACAGACAAGCAACACCAGCAAUGAGAGGUUUUAAGGUGCUCUUUUAGAUGGGUGGGGGUGAACCAACCGCAUAUUGAUGCACGUCUGGAAAAGAUCCAAUAUAGAAAAUGGAUCUACUACAUGCACUAAAACAAUACAUUCAUAAUGUUUUUAGAAAAUUUUGAAACAGUGAACCCAUAGGGACAACAGGUCAAUUCCGAAAGUCAUAAAAGAAAGAGACAUGUCAAACAUUGUGACUGAAUCAGAGAGAGAGAGAGGGAGACGGAGAGGGUAAGGGCAACCAAGUGGAAAAUACUCAGGCAGGAGAUUUUAGUUAGCACAGAGAAGAGCUAUGGAGUUACUCAAAUUUCAGAUACAAGGACUAUUUACCUCUUUUGCAUAUUCUAAGGAAUUGGAAGACACACAGCAAACAAUGGCUUGGCGAGGGCUUAACCACAAUGGCCAUUUUCCAUUGUAGUGCUCCAAAAGAAUGGCAAACAUCCUUUCAACUGAUCCCAGUAUUGCCCUGUGUAUCAUCACAGGCCUCUCAAGCUUGGCUUCAUCCUCUGCCGAGUAACUCAACUUGAAGCGAAGGGGCAGCUGAAAAUCGAGCUGUAACAGACAAUAAAGGUCAAUACAAGCAAAUUUUAUUCUCUACAAUUGAUGUCAAGAUAACAUUAAAGAGAAACCUGUAGGGUUGCACAUUGAAAUUUCCUCUUGAGGGCAUCAAACACACCAAUAUCUAUUUUUGGACCAUAGAAAGCACCAUCCCCUUCAUUGAUCUGCACACAAACAUCUAUGUGAGUACUGGGAUUCAUGGGUUAAGGGCCUGUUUGGUUUGAGCCCCAGUCUGCCCCACCAAAAUUUUGGCAAAUGUUGGCAUGACCAAAACAAGGGCAUGACCAAUAUUUUGGUAAGUAGAUGUUGUUUGGUUUGUAGCCAAAAAAAUUUGGCAAAAUUUUUAGAUUUACAUUUGGUUUGCAACAAACUUAGUACUCAAACAUUUGGCUUGAUCUAUUUCUCGGUUCGUGAGGUAGCAGACAAGAUUUAGAGAUAAAUCAUGGGUUAUAAAAAAGAAUAGACAAAGAUAAAAGAAAAGUAGCUAGAGUUUUCCACCGAUGGACUUGAGAAAUGAGAGAAGGUCAAGGUACCGAUGCUCUGUUUCGUUGCACAGCCAGAGAAAAAGAUUUAGCAAGAAAAAAAUAUAGAAAAAGGCUGGGGCCCACCAAGGGUCAGAGGUAGAGCGCCCUGCCAAUUCGUUGGCGAAGGUUUUCGCCGCCCUCGUUUUCGCCAACGUUUCCGCUGGAGCAGCACGAGCGCGCCCAAGAUGACCUGGGCGAGCCAACUUUUUGGUUCUCAUCCAAACAACAUCCAAAUACCAUUGGCAAGCCAAUUUUUUGGCACGGCAGGUAUUGGUUGUAAAGCAAACAGCCCCUAAGAAACAGCCAAGUCCUGGCAGUUUCUUUCAAUAGCAAUUUGAACACUGAAGUAAAUACUAGCAUGAUAGUACUGAUAUAAAUCAAAUCAGUCACAAGAUGAAUUAGAAAUAAUAUACUCCCUAGAUAUUAAGCAUUAGUAACUUGAGGUUGCAAGAACAGAUAACUGCUAUCCACCAGCAUGAAAUAUGUUUACAGCUUUCGCUCAUCAGAUAUCACUCAAAUAUACAAAAUGCAUAUUACAUUUCUACCAUUGAAGAUCAACAGAAAGUAUAACCUACUUUCAUCAAUAGUUUUUUCUACAAUGUCAGCCAAGGAGGAAUAAACAACGGUCAACCGAACAACAAUUUUAUGCAAGGCCUGUAGUGAAAGUGUAAAAUGAGGAGCAAAUAAAGAUGAUAGAAUAAUUUGGUGAGCCCCCAAUUGCCAUUCUAAGAGCCUGUUUGGUUCUCAUCCACAAUCUGCCAUGCCUAACCUUAGGCACUCCACAGUUUCUUAGGCAUGUGUUUGCUUUGCACCAGAACCAUGGCAUGCCACACUUUUUAUUGUUCAUAAAUGGUUGAUUAUCAUACAACUUUCGCCAAAUAUUGCCAUAAUCGUGGCAUGGAUGUUGUUAAGCCACACUUUUGUAAGCUUAGCUGUAGCAAAGUUAGCCAUAUACCAAACAUCUAGCAGCACUGAGUGAUGCAAACAGUACCUUCCAUGGUUUCCCAAACUCAUCCAGGGCUUCUGUCAGUUGUUGCUCUGCUUUGUUCCAGGUCUCGAUGUCACCUAAGUAUUUCUCUGGUCUCUGAAAAAAUAAACAUUCGUGAGACUCUUUUGAACAGAUUGGAGGAUGAAUAAUGACCAUCAACAAUUUGAUUGAGGUUAUUCUGUACAUAUAUUGACAAGGUCAAUCGAGCAGUAGGUUUAGGCCCAUAUAUUAAACCCAUAACCAUCAACAAUUUGUUAGAGAUGAUUACCGUUGAUAACUCCAAUUCAUACUUAAACCCAAAUAUUCCGUAAACGUAAUCGAUGAAAUCCAAACAACCCCUAACUUCAGCCUUGAUCUGCAACAAUGAAACAACUUAUAAACGGUAAUACAAACUGAGAAAUCAUCUCAAGCACUAAACUAAUCCAAACCACAAUACAGCUACUGUCAAAAAAAGUAAGUCAUGGUAAUUGGUAGACACACUGAGCAACUCUGUGGAUGCAAAACUGAACUCUGAACCUGCUGGAAAUAUCAGAAAGCCUAAGGGCUUGUUUGGCACAGGUGGAUUUCACAGGAUUUUGAGGAAUUCUGGGGAUUCUAAUUAAACAUGAACUACAAUCCCCCAAAUUCUGUAGAAAUCCCGUGAAAUCCACCUGUGCCAAACAACGCCUAAAUGUCAUAGAGCAAAAUGAUCAACACAAUUCCAAUGCAUCACUACUCUUCUAAAAAGGAUGAAAAACACAUGGUCUAUGUAAAUCACAAACUUACUUGGCUCUCUGUGCAAAAUAUAUGGGCAUCAUCCUGCAAGGGACAUAAAUAAAAAUGAUGACCAAAGUAUAUAGUUAAUCAAAAACAAUAUUUUAUCUUGGAAACUAAAAAUUCAUGGGAUCACAAUUAGCCUUUACCUGCUGGAAUCUUCUGACACGUGUCAAACCUGUAAGUGCACCACUAAGCUCGUUUCUGUGCAGAACUCCAAAAUCAGCCAUGCGGAGAGGUAACUCUGCAGCAUUUAAUUAAACAAAUUUGCUAGAAUUAGACACCAAAUUUGUCAAAUCCACAUGAGUACAGCAGCAGAUAAGAUUCCCCAAAGAGUCCCUUAGAUAAUGGCAACUUAAUGCAGUAGGCAAGUAAUAGCUGAAAUUGUGCGUGUGGAGGUUGACUUGAUUUGAGUACUAAACAUAAAUUGGAGUCAAAACUAAUCGUCUUUAAUUUGGAGACCAGGUAUUUCUACAUAGAAAAGGCUGGCUUCUAAGAAAGGGAAUUGUUUCGCACCGUGCGUUUGUUAUAUAGUGCCCAACUUUUUCCAUCAUUUCGAGUUGGCUGAACUGGUUGGAGGAUGCAACUCAAUAUGGUAUUAGAGCCAAGAGGUCUCCAGUUCAAGACCCAGCGGACACAAUAUUAAUUAACAAAACUGUGAACUAAUUUGAUCCCACAUAUAAGUCCUAGAGUAGCAUAAACAUGAUGGAUUGGGGUUCAAAUAUAGUGUCUACCUUUCUCCAUCAAUUUCAGCUUUUGGAUGGUAGGUGCAUGAUACACGGUACCGUGAGAUAUUUUUAUUUAUAGAAAAGCAGUUCACCAAAUGCCAAUGAGACAGAGCACCAACCGCCAUAUAUAUAAUAAAUGUGCAACUCACAGUACGAAUUAAAUAGAAAGACAGCAUAAAAUAUCGCAGGAAAAUUAGUUCAGAAAGGAAGAAGCUUUAAGAUAACUAGAACGAUGAUUUUGCAAGGUAUUGAAACUAGGUAACCAAUAUCGAAUACGUGCCUAAACCUGUAGCGAUUAUAUGGGUAAUUAAAGUACUCGCCUACUCAGCCUUGCACUUGAUUUUUCUUGUAACCGGUGAGAGUACCUAGUGUGUAUGCCCUCUAGUAGACCUAGUUUCCAUACCUUGCAGCUUUAACUUGACCAAGAUCACAUCCAGGAACAAGUAUAGCAAGAGAGGAGCUUACCUCUAUAUGAACGGACCUUGUGGUCAAACAUUAGGCAAUGACCAGGACAAUUCAUUGGCUUAAGGCCAAAUUCUUGUUUCUCAAUCUGCACAAGAAGAAAACCAACGGGCACCCAUAAAGGUCAUAACCGCCAAUGAUAUUAAUCUAUAGCAUGACACUUAUGAUUCUGCUGUAGCAUAUGCCGAUGUCCUUACCUCAAAAACAAACAUGUUCUCCUUGUAGUUUGCAGCAUGUCCAGAGGUUUCCCAAAGUUGCAUAUUGUAAAUGUUUGGACUCAAGACCUAAUAAAUAUACAAACAUAGGAGAAAACAAAAACACAGAGAGUUGUUCAGCUAUCCAUAGUCUAGGAAGAUAAGUGCUAUAUAGUAAAUUAAUUCCGACCUCUUGGUAGCCUCUCUCUCUAUACUGCCCUCGCAAAAAAUCCAUCAAUUUGUUAUAUAUUAUAGCACCAUGUGGAAGGAAGAAGCAGCUUCCUGGGCUGCAUAGUUGCAAAGUUCAUCAAAGAGCUAUUCUUAUGGUAGGCCAGCAAGCAAAGAUCUAGAAACUAAGGUAUGGAAGAGAAUAAAAUAGAACUGGAAAUGCUAACGUACCUAAGUGGAUGGAAAAAGAAGAGUUCCUGAGACUGCCCUAAUAACCUAUGAUCACGCUUCUUAGCUUCCUCUAUCAUAUGUUGAUAUUCCUGCAGAUUAUCAAGCAAUAAAUAUGUAUGAGAAACAGAAUAAGCCGUUGAUAACAUGGAAAUAUUAAGAAAAUAUGAAUAUAUAUCUAAAAUUAAAAUUCAGAAGGACUAUGCUGUCUUUGAUGUAACCAUCUUUUAGACCAGGGACUUUGUCUGAGCUGACCAAUUGAAGGCAUAAUAUGUCUCCACAAGGACACAGCUGCCGUGCAGUGUUGUGCAAAUCAACUGACCGCAACACAAAAAAAACAAAGAUGCUAGCGAAAAUUCAAGGAUAAUAUACAUUGGGCGCACACCAGUUUCCACAUCAUCCAUGGAGCAGAAAUUUUAUGUCGUACCUUGAGACGUUUAGAAUCAGGGAAAGAAAUUCCAUAUACUCUCUGUAGGCUCUCACGGUCUGCUUUCCCCCUCCAAUAUGAUGCUGAAGCCUAAUAUUUACAUGAAAAUUCAGAUCUUUAGUACUCAACUUCAUCAACAGAACCUGGAGCUCAAUGCAUAACCAAAGAAAAAUGACCUUGAGGCAAGCAAACGCUUUAACAAAAGAAGUAUUUGGUAUGUGGGGGCCACGGCAAAGGUCGACUAAAGGACCACAUCUGUACACUGUAAUGGUCUUGUCCUCGGGCAAUUCAUUAAUGAUUUCAACCUGAGCAUACAGUUAAAAAAUAAUCAAGAACAUGAGUACAAUUUCUCAGAUAUGCUACAUGCAGCAAUUUGAUAAUUUGAUAAUAUAAAAGCUUGAAAGAAGCAAGAUAUGAAUGAGGAAGGCUACCUUAAAUUGAUUUUCGGCAAAAAUUUCAAGAGCUUCAGCCCUGGAGACUUCAAUGCGUUCAAAUGGUUGCUUUUCCUGCAGAGUUGAGUUGAAGCAAAAUACUUGUUAAUGCAGUCAAUUUAUGCCAUAAAGAUAAGGUACUGCAUUAAAAUAAGUUGUAUUGCUGCACAGUGUCCACAAAGUCAGGGUCAACAAAAAGCUUGAGUAAAAACAGUUCAAUAAAACAUGAGAGCAUACCGCAACAGCCUUUUGAGCUUGUUUCUCAACGAGACCAAAAUGUGUAUCAUUCAGUGUCACGUCAUUGUAGUGAGCAUCAUAGUAGAAACCCUUAAAAGGCAAAGUGGAAACAUCAAGAACAUGAGUAAUGACUGAAAAACAGGGCUAACCUAUUUUCAUGUGCUAACCGUAACUUAGACUAACUACAUACCUCCCCUCUCGUAGUACAAGGCCCAAUGCACAGCUUGCAGCCGUACGCCCUCUCUAGAGACUGCAAGUGAACAACUUCAAUUAGAGAAACUUGAAUUGAGAAUGGACCAUAACAGAGAAUUGGGAAAAUCAAACACCGGGCAACUAAUUCACAACUUGCCCGUAACGAAAAAUCAGGCUCAAAGAUAUCUUUGGAGGUUUUAACUCACUUCUCCAAGAAUAUGAGCACUCGAGUGCCAGAAUGUGUCACGCCCUUCAUUGCUAUCAAACUUAAACAACUUCAAGUCACAGUCACCUUCCAAUGGCCUCUCCAUAUCCCAGAGUAUUCCAUUCACUUGAGCUAUCAAACAGCUAGCUGCUAACCCACUUGAUAUCCCCUUAGCAAUGUCCAUUGGGGUUGAUAUCCACUUUUUGCCUUCCUUAACUGCGCCGUCGGGCAGAAUUAUCCUGAGUGACAUGCAGGAAACACCAUUACAAGAAGAAUUCAUUGCCAUCAUGCAAAGCAGAUGAUUACAUAUGUACUUGAAUUUAAACACCAAAGGAAGGUAUACCAAGGGAAAAAACAGUAGGCUGCAAACCAAGGUUCAAAAUCAUAUGAUCUCAGUAUCAGGGGUGGCGCCAGCAUAGGGACAAGCAGGGGCGGCCAUCCCGGGUCUCUGGAUGCACUCUCAGCCAUAGCCGAGCUCCAAGCUCCGUUCUAUAGUGCCAUUGUGGAUUGGAGAAAUACGUGCUCACACCUGGGUGUGAGUCACGGGAAGGAGACAAGCAAACUAUCUCCUUGUGUUUCAUGGGCCUGUGCCAAACACAGUUAAGUGAAAGGCCAGUAAAGAAAUAGCCCAGCAUGGCCACUCAUGCCCUCCACAGCCAAAAAAAUACACUAAUCUUUAUGCUUUUCAAAGCCUCAAAAGGUCAAGUUUCUAGUCCUUUAACUGUAGACAAGUGAAUGGAAAUAUAUUGAUUGAUCAGUGCAGCAUAUACACCUCGGAUCACUAAUCCUCAAUCCUUAAGGAUGGCUAUCUCUCUACUGAGCGACACACCAAACACAUUGAUAUCAUAAGGAAGUCAUGAUUAUGACACGUGAUAAUUUCGGAGGUCUUUAGGUGAAGUUAGUUCCAUCUAGACAACAUUUGAUUUUUUUUCCAUUUUUUUAAUCAUCUCUUCUGACUUGGAUUCAUGUCACAUGUCAUGACAUUGUCAGCUGAAAGAGUUUUCUCGGUCACUGAUAUCAUAAAGACAUCUUUGAAAUACGAUAAUCGGUGAAUGAUUUGACGGUAUGCUACAUUGAGCAAGAAAUAUCUGUGAAGCUUUAGUGAUAAAAAAUAUUAAAAAAUUCGCAUUAUACAAUUGUCCACAUAGAGUUAUGUUGACUGUAGUCUAUAAUAUAUAUUUUAAUCUUUUUUUGACAAGAGUUCGCCCCUGCAAACUUCAAAUCCUCAGCGCUGCAUAGUGCCAUCCUAGGUAGAUAAUGCAAGUUCGUUGAACCCUACAGAAGUUCAGAUAAUUUUCGUCCUCUGUAAUAGUGUAAUCUUCAUGUCUCAUCAACAAUCAACUGCCCCGGUAAACGACUUAGAAAGCCGAUCUGAAAUAUGAAGCGGGUAUGUCCAAACGUGCACAGAGCCACACGCUGCUACACGAAUUCCAAUUCAGCAGCCCCCAGUUGACCCACUGCGCUAAUUAUACAGCAAAGACGCGCGAGCAGAUCGCGGGAGCACUCACUUGAUGGGCUCGCCGCCGAUGUUGAGGCGCUCGAGGGCCUGCCUGGACUGAAUCUCCUCGAAGAGGCGGAUCCUCUUCUGCGUCACCGCCUCCAGGUAUGCCCCGUCGGGCACGACGGUCGGGGGCGGAGCCGACGCCUUCCCCUUCGCAUCUUUCCCGGCGGCGGACUUAUCUCCUGCCAUCGCCGCGGUGGAAAGGCGGAGAGGGGAGAGGGACAGGAGGCGAGCGGGGCGAGGCAGGAGCGGGGGUAGGGAGCGGGGCGGGUGCUGCCGGAGGAGCGAGAGGCCUCGCCGGAGGCACACAAGCAUAUAGCGGCGGCGGCGGGAAGGGAAGGGAUGUGCUGCUAAGGUAAGGGUUUGAGCCCGAGGGUUUUGACUUUAUCCGUGCUAGUUUGGGUGUGAGCCAAAGGCAAAAGGCAUCAUCGCUGUUAAGAAAUGAGGAGGCACCUUAAAAAAUGGGAGGUUGCCAGGCCAAGGCAUCGCCAGAAAUCGGAGACAGCCUUUUAAAACACUUUUCUUGUAACUUGUUACAAAUACUACUCCCUGGAUUAUACAAAUUCACGUGACUUAUUUUGGGACGGAGGAAAUAGUCCGUAUAAACUUCAUAUUCUACUCCGUACUGAUCUUAGUAGAUUUUCCUAUAAAUUUGCCCAAACUUGCCCUGUCAAAAAAAACAUGGUCACAAUUGAAGAAAUUUUGAUUUAGACAAAACUAGGACUUCUAUAUUUACAAACAGAGGUAGUAAUUACUUUUGUUCUUAAAUAUAAGGUUAUUUUAUUUAAUGCUAAGUUAAAUUUGAUUAAAUUUGUAAAAAAUAAACAUUUAUACAUCAAACAAGCAUACUAUGAAGAUAUAUAUAAUGAUGAAUAUAAUUUAGUUAAAUUUUAAUUUGACUCAGAACAAAACAUCAUGUAUUUAUGAACGAGAGAGUGGUAUCCCCAAUUUUUCCUGCAAGAAAAUAAUAUGUCCACAUGAAAAAAAAAAGAUGCAAGCGAGUGCCUACACACGUCAACACACACCUUAUUUUAUUGCCAGCACAUGGAGCAUCCAAAUAUUCAUGUGGACAUAUUCUUUGUUCUUACCGCCACCAGCCAGUAAACAGGCAUGUUCUUUCAGCGCAAACAUUCAAAGUAGAGUGCAACCACUCUGGUGAAAUUUGUGUACUUGGUACGAGUAGAUAUAGAUGGACGGUGUUUGAGUCAAGCACCUAUAGUCAUGUUCUUAAAUACAAGGGUGCCAUGUGUUGUAGCUCAUGGAGUUGCCUCAUCUUACAGAUUUUCUUCAGAGUGCUUUGUCAACAAAUAAUCAGCUCGAGAUGUUAUUAGCUGGAAGUUGAGGGCAUCCUUUGACAACACAGUGUUUCAGUUGAUCAGGGGGUGGCAAACCUUCUAGACAAGAUAGUGCUCCACAAUCUGUCACACUUAACUUGGUCAAUGCCUUGCAGGAAUGAAGCCUUAUGCGUGUUAAAGCUGAACACUUCGCUAUCUCAACUUCACUUAACUCCAACUCAUCCUCCUCACAUGACUGGGAGCCUGUACUCACCCCACCACGAUUGAAAUCAACAUUAAAUUCUUUCAGAGAUGACAAACCAGUCAAGUGUAGUUUCUUCAGGAAUGGCAACUCUUCAAACGGUGGAAGAACCUUCAGUGCUGAACAGUCCUGGAGAUGGAGGCUUUCUAGAUUGCCGAGUGAGAAAUUUUCUCCCAGCCAUGAUGGAGUAGCACCAGCAUAGUUUAUGACAUGGAGAUGUGCGAGGUAAUCAUGUGGUUUAAGACCCUCGAUUACUUCUCUCUGAACAGAAGGAUUCCCACUUGCACUACCCCAUGAGAGUGAAAGUGUCCUCAGAUGUUUUUUAUCUUUAAUCCUUGCACGAUUAGCCUCUUCCUUCUUUGUGGCAUUCUCAAGAUCAAGGAUAAUAAGCGAUCCCCUGAUCUCGUUUAAGUACUCCAGCUGCGAGAUGGCAAAGCCACUGUCUCGCUGCACCCGGAACUCAUUCAGCUCUUGUAGAAACUUAAGUUCUCCAACUCUUGAUAUCUUCGAGUGCAAUGACCCUGACUCCGGAACAAGUAAAUAGCGGAGGUUGACAAGAUUACUCAUACCCUUUGGCAAAUCAUCUAGGCCGCUCCAAUGUAUGAUGUCCAGUACCUGUAGGUGGUAGAGCUUACAGAUGGCCUCAGGCAAAGGGUUGCGCAUAUCAGAGGUAGACCUCAGUUCUAAAUAGCGAAGAUGGAUGAACUUUUUAACACUGGAUAGCAACACGUCAGCAUUGAAGGGCAUUGCAGAUAACUGAAGUACCCGGACAUAACGUGAUUGCUGAAGAGUCUUCACAAACUUUGCAGAGAAGUUCUCAUCAUAUACACCUACAAGCAUUAAACUCUCCAAGCUUCUCAGAAUACCACUAUUCUGAAUUUCUUCUAGCUUUUCUUCAAAAGUCUCACUACGUUCUAUGCUUAUUUCCUUAUAAACCAACUCCGUCCAGAUGCCAAGAUGACGAAUGGAUGGGAAAACUUUCCGAUGGUCUGAGCCAUCAAUGGUAAGGCACUCACAUAGUGAGACUUCUCGUGCUACAUCAUGUAUUAAAUCAUGCACAACAAAGUACUGCCCAUCUUUCUGUAAGAAGCUCCGGUCUACCAAAUCAUCAAAACUGUCACUUCCUGCAUCUUCCAAUUUUCUUCUCUCGUCAAUGAGAAAGCCAAGAGCGAUCCAUACACGUAUCAGCUGUUCCUUAUCGAAUUUGUAACCUUUUGGAAACAGAGCACAAUGGGAAAAGAGGAGCUGAAGGUGGUAGGACAAGUGAUUGUAACUGAGCAUUAGUGCUGGUAUGAUACCAUCUGUACCAUUUUGUAACUUCCAUUCAUCACUGUCCAAAAUUUUUCUCCAGUGAACCUCAUGAAGAUUUCUUCUCAAAAGCGUGCUGACACUUUUAGCUGCUAAUGGAUUUCCUUUCAGCUUGGUGGCUAUUUGCUUUCCAAUUUUUUGAAGCUUCUUCUGACCUUGAUAAUUCUCAUCACCAAAUAUGCAUCUUUUAAAGAAGCACCAAAAUAUAUCAUCCUUCAUACCAUCCAAGUUGAUGUGCUCCUCCAUUUUGCUUGUUAUGCUGGCAACAGACAACUUUCGGGUUGUUACCAGAAUCACAUUACCUUUAACUUCUGUACAUCUAAGUGGUGCCAACAGCUUGUCCCAACGACCCUCACUCUCCUCCCACAUAUCAUCCAAUACAAGUAAAAAUCUUUUGGUUAAGUGUUCCUUGAUACCACGCUGAAGCACAGUGAGGUUUUGAGUAUUUGUAUGCUCGCAUUCAGGUAUUUGUUCCAGAAUACUUUGCGUAAGCUUCACUUCGUCAAAGCUCGCAGAUACAUAGACCCAAAUCCUGAUGUUGAACUUAGCUUUUACAUCUGGGUCAUGGUAAACUAGUCGAGCGAGUGUUGUCUUCCCAACACCUCCAUCACCAACUAUUGGAACAACUAAAAGUUCUUGACCGCUUGAUGCACUGCUACUAAUUAGUUUGAGAAUACCAUCCUUCUCUUCCCUUGAGAACACCUUAGUUUCAGUGAAACUCUCCACUGCCUCACGUGUGUCUGUGCUUGUUUUUCGAGUUGCCCGAUUAAUUCCAUCUAGUUUCUCUAACAAAAGGGCAUUGUGAACAUCAUCACAAAUCUUAUGCAGAUUUUCCACGGUAUCUCUUAUGUGUGGUAUGUCAGAUCUAUUGAUUCUUGGCUUUGAUUGUCCAACUUCAGUAAAAGAUUUCACUUUGGAUACCAACGGGUUGCUGCUCUUGAAGUUCUUCCUUUUUAUCUGUUCAUCAUAAAUGGGAAAUGCUAGAAUUAGAACCGUCUCUCUAUCAGUACUCACUGAUGCAAAUGAGAUCAGUAUCUCAGUAUCACAUGAUGGGACAGGACCAAAACAAACAAAAUAGAAAAUUAGAUUUCACGGAGCACAACAACAUCAAUAUAGAGAAAAUUCAGCUGUAGUCAGCACCAAGCAGAGCGCAGGGAUCACCUUAAUAGAGACUAAGCUGAAGUUUAAAUUUUGUUAUUUGAACUGAAAAAUAUAGGUCAAUUUAUUUUAGAUAAUGGAAGGAAGAUACCACACAGCAACAUACACACAUCAAGCACCGCCUUUGCCAAUGGCCUCAGGACAGCUCAGUUAAGAUCGAGCAGAAUAUCAUCGGCUAUCCUAUUAAAAAUCGAAUUGUAUUAGGGCAUAGAGAGACGAUGCUAAGGAUCCUAUAAUAAUCAAACUCUCAUAAGGAUUCAUACAACCUUUAAAGGAAUCACGAGGAAACCAUGAAGCAUAACCAUACUAAUCCGAAGAGCCAAGAUCUCAUACAAAUCAAGGUAAAAGCAAUAAGGGGUGCAGAAGAGGGCUAGAGGCUGGAUUAUUCCUCAACACUAGAUUUUGUGUAGGCAAGGAUCAUGGUUUGAGAGGGUUGGGAGAAAACAGCAAUCACUCUUUGAGGUGGUGCUUAGAGAAUUAGUUUUUCCAAAUCUUUCCUUUGUUGUUGCGAUUCAUUCGACACCUUUAUUUGGCAUGCCCCUUUAUUUUGGUUAUCUCUACUACAUUAUCCUGAUUUGUUCUUGAUGGCAUGCACACUAAUUUCACUUUUCAAAAUACGAGUGGCGUUGUGUAUAUCAGUAUAUGAAGGGGCAUUAGAGUAUAGUAA